GACGAACGCUGGCGGCGUGCUUAACACAUGCAAGUAGCACGGAGUGGCGAACGGGUGAGUAACACGUGGGUGACCUGCCCUGCACUUCGGGAUAAGCCUGGGAAACUGGGUCUAAUACCGGAUAGUGUGGGAUGGGCCCGCGGCCUAUCAGCUGGUUGGUGGUGUAAUGGCGUACCAAGGCGGCGACGGGUAGCCGGCCUGAGAGGGUGGACGGCCACAUUGGAGCUGAGACACGGCCAAGACUCCUACGGGAGGCAGCAGUGGGGAAUAUUGCACUAUGUGCGGAAGCCUGAUGCAGCGGCGCCGCAUGGGGGAUGACGGCCUUCGGGUUGUAAACUCCUUUCACCAUCGACGCGGUGGAUGGCGAAGAAGCACCGGCUAACUACGUGCCAGCAGCCGCGGUAAUAC
rnacentral:rRNA from 1 species